GAUGAACGCUGGCGGCGUGCCUAAUACAUGCAAGUCGAGCGAACGGACGAGAAGCUUGCUUCUCUGAUGUUAGCGGCGGACGGGUGAGUAACACGUGGAUAACCUACCUAUAAGACUGGGAUAACUUCGGGAAACCGGAGCUAAUACCGGAUGAUAUUUUGAACCGCAUGGUUCACAAGUGAAAGACGGUCUUGCUGUCACUUAUAGAUGGAUCCGCGCUGCAUUAGCUAGUUGGUAAGGUAACGGCUUACCAAGGCAACGAUGCAUAGCCGACCUGAGAGGGUGAUCGGCCACACUGGAACUGAGACACGGUCCAGACUCCUACGGGAGGCAGCAGUAGGGAAGCGUCCGCAAGGGGCGAAAGCCUGACGGAGCAACGACGCGUGAGUGAUGAAGGUCUUCGGAUCGUAAAACUCUGUUAUUAGGGAAGAACAUAUGUGUAAGUAACUGUGCACAGCUUGACGGUGCCUAAUCAGAAAGCCAAGGCUAACUACGUG
rnacentral:rRNA from 1 species